rnacentral:rRNA from 1 species
UACGGAGGGUGCAAGCGUUAUCCGGAAUCACUGGGUUUAAAGGGUGCGUAGGCGGUUUUGUAAGUCAGUCGUGAAAUCGCUGGGCUUAACCCAUGCAAUUGCGAUUGAUACUGUGAGACUUGAAUGGGGUUUAGGCAGGCGGAAUGUGGCAUGUAGCGGUGAAAUGCAUAGAUAUGCCAUAGAACACCGAUUGCGAAGGCAGCCUGCUGGGCCUUUAUUGACGCUGAGGCACGAAAGCGUGGGGAGCGAACAGG